rnacentral:rRNA from 1 species
UACAGGGGGUGCAAACGUUGCUCGGAAUCAUUGGGCGUAAAGCGCACGUAGGCGGUUCGUUAUGUCGGCGUGAAAGCCCCGGCUUAACCUGGGAAUGGCCGUCGAAACUGGCGAACUGGAGUGUGGCAGAGGGGGUGGAAUUCCGCGUGUAGCAGUGAAAUGCGUAGAGAUGCGGAGGAACACCGAUGGCGAAGGCAGCCCCUGGCUGACACUGACGCUCAGGCACGAAAGCGUGGGAGCAAACAGG